CUUCAUGACCUGGUGAGAAUACGCCUAAAAUGGUCCUUAUUGUCCCAAGACAACCCAAUUGAAGCUCCUCAAGAUCUCCCAAACCUGAUGGAGCUGCAGUUACUUGAUGCAUACACUGGAACCCAGUUGGACUUCAACUCGGGAAAAUUUCAGAAGCUUAAGAUAUUAGACCUUGAGCAAUUGAAACAGCUGAGGUUUAUCAUAAUGGAAGAUGGCACAUUGCCUUGCCUACAAAAGCUGAUCAUAAGGCAAUGCAAUGAGCUGAAACAUGUCCCCGUAGGUAUUGACGGGCUCCAUCAUCUUAAUGAGCUGCACCUCUGCGAUAUGCCUGAGAAAUUCGUGGCCCAGCUGAAGAAAAGAGGCGGUGAACUUCGCCAUUUGCUUCACCGUUGUUUGCAUAUUCUCUCAUAUCAACAGGGCCGGUUGGUGGAAGAUCUUUCAUGACCAUAUCUGAUACAUCUGUGACAUGCACCAGUGGAUCAAGAAUCAGGAAAUCAUGGUGGGAUAUCUAGCAUUUAUACAUAUCAAGCAUCAAAUAUCUGUGGAGUCGUAUUUGAAACUGCCAUUGUUGAAACUACCCCGAGACUCGGUACAAGACAUAGUCGGAUUAUGGUCAGGUGUCAAGCCCCCGAGACUUCCAAUUGAUUUUUAUGCUUCUUGUAUUAAUAAUAGUGUUGGAUUGUAAGGACUGAAUUGUUUUUAUUGUGUUUGGCUUAAAAUGUCGGGAUCAAGUUCCACGUUAAGCUUGUGGGGAUAGCCAUGGACGUAGAAAACGAAUUGAUUAUCAAACCACUCUAAAAAUCUCCUCCUUCUUUUUU